rnacentral:rRNA from 1 species
UACGUAGGGUCCGAGCGUUGUCCGGAGUUACUGGGCGUAAAGCGUGCGUAGGCGGUGAGUUAAGUCUGUCGUGAAAUCCCCGGGCUCAACCUGGGAAUGGCGAUGGAUACUGGCUCGCUAGAGUGUGAUAGAGGAUGGUGGAAUUCCCGAUGUAGCGGUGAAAUGCGUAGAGAUCGGGAGGAACAUCAGUGGCGAAGGCGGCCAUCUGGAUCAACACUGACGCUGAGGCACGAAAGCGUGGGGAGCAAACAGG